rnacentral:rRNA from 1 species
CUCGUAGGCGGUCUGAUAAGUCCUGUGUGAAAUCCCUUGGCUUAACCAAGGAACUGCGCCGGAUACUGUCGGACUAGAGGCCGGGAGAGGGAAGCGGAAUUCCGAGUGUAGCGGUGAAAUGUGUAGAUAUUCGGAGGAACACCGGUGGCGAAGGCGGCUUCCUGGACCGGUUCUGACGCUAAAAGGCGAAAGCUAGGGUAGCAAACA